GGGUAUCUACUGUAUAAGGGUGAGUUAUCUGUGUGUUCUGUUGUAGGGCAGGGCUGGGUAUUUACUGUAUAGGGGUGAGUUAUCUGUGUUCUGUUGUAGGGCUGGGUAUCUACUGUAUAAGGGUGAGUUAUCUGUGUUCUGUUGCAGGGCUGGGUAUCUACUGUAUAAGGGUGAGUUAUCUGUGUGUUCUGUUGUAGGGCAGGGUAUCUACUGUAUAAUAUGCCUUAAGGUUCCCACUGUAGUAGAGAGCUGAUUCACCUAACCUAGCCAUGCGUAGAUGCAGCCCCUUCACACACCAGAGGUCUUUCCUUCAUGUUAUCUCUUAGUCCUUC
ensembl:lncRNA